rnacentral:rRNA from 1 species
AUUGAACGCUGGCGGCAGGCCUAACACAUGCAAGCCGAGCGGAUGAAGGGAGCUUGCUCCUGGAUUCAGCGGCGGACGGGUGAGUAAUGCCUAGGAAUCUGCCUGGUAGUGGGGGAUAACGUCCGGAAACGGGCGCUAAUACCGCAUACGUCCUGAGGGAGAAAGUGGGGGAUCUUCGGACCUCACGCUAUCAGAUGAGCCUAGGUCGGAUUAGCUAGUUGGUGGGGUAAAGGCCUACCAAGGCGACGAUCCGUAACUGGUCUGAGAGGAUGAUCAGUCACACGGGAACUGAGACACGGUCCAGACUCCUACGAGAGGCAGCAGAGGGGAAUAUUGGACAAUGGGCGAAAGCCUGAUCCAGCCAGGCCGCGUGUGUGAAGAAGGUCUUCGGAUUGUAAAGCACUUUAAGUUGGGAGGAAGGGCAGUAAGUUAAUACCUUGCUGUUUUGACGUUACCAACAGAAUAAGCACCGGCUAACUUCGUG